GGUGGGUCCGGGGGUGG
rnacentral:miRNA from 1 species